AGAUUUCAGGUGAAGCAUUUCCUACACAAAGUUGAAGUCUGUAAUAUGAAAUUCUCCAGAACUUGAAUCAGAAUAGCAUCGAAAACCAGGGGAACGAUUGUACCCACUAUCCUCUAUCCACGCGUUCAACACAAACUAUGAAUGAGGGUCGCUCACCUUAUAGUCAUCUCCGUUACGAUUUUAAAAUCCAUAUGCAGUAAGUCUUCGUUUUUAUCUAUGAAUCAAGGGAAAUGUACCACAUUUCUGCACACCGCAUGCAAGCACACCUGCCAAAAACGUGUUUAUUUCAUAACGAACCGUUCUCUUCCAAGUACAAGUGCAAGCAAACGAAUUCAAACGCGUGGCAUCUCAGUCCGAUGGGAACCAUUUCUGGGAUAGUUUGUCAGUCAGAGAGUGCAAUUCAAAGAAAAAAAAUGAUUGUUCGAUUAAUUUUUGUGACCGCGAUUUUGGGUACGGUUUUUGUUCCCAACCCAUCCGAAGGUUCUGUUAUUAGUUUAUUCAUAGACGCUCAAAAGCACAUUAUCACACGUGAGGAAGCAAUGCUGAAGCAAGCGCAAGAAGCGGUUAAAGAUCGAAUCGACCAAGCAUUCGACAAGGCACAUGAAGCACUGAUGAGUGUGGCCGAACAGGUUCAUUACUACGCGACAUAUCCGUUCCGUGCUGGCAACGAAAUGAUACAGAAUUCGAUGAGUAUGAUUGGGAAUGCCACAUCGUCACUGGCUGGAUAUUUGCCAUCAUUUGGAGGUCAAACCACCGAACCUGCCACUCUGGAAGCAAUCGACGAAGCAUCUUUUGUCCAGAGAGUUCAGCGGAUGAGGGAACAAAUAUCUCGAUUGUCUGGGCUGCGCGUUGUGGUGCACACUGUAUCAGAGGAUACAUCAAAUGGACCAUUGUUGGAAGCAAUUUUACAGGAUAGGUUUCGGUAACACAGAGAGAACUAUAAAUAUCACUGGGAACGGUAACGGUACAUCGGAUGGAACUUCAGCAAAACCAUUUCCAGAGAUCAAAUUCGAUGACAACGAGACAAGCGGUAAUCAGAGUCGAAUCGAUAACGGAACAUUGGAGUCAACCUCAUAUGGGCCUUUAAAUAAGAUCAAAUUUGACGACAAAGAAGAUACUGGAAUAUUAGAAGGAAGGAGCAAUGAAAUAUAAUAAAAUAUAUUUACGGCUAUUUUUGUUUUA